rnacentral:rRNA from 1 species
GACGAAUGCUGGCGGCGUGCCUAAUACAUGCAAGUAGAACGCUGAAGAGAGGAGCUUGCUCUUCUUGGAUGAGUUGCGAACGGGUGAGUAACGCGUAGGUAACCUGCCUUGUAGCGGGGGAUAACUAUUGGAAACGAUAGCUAAUACCGCAUAACAAUGGAUGACACAUGUCAUUUAUUUGAAAGGGGCAAUUGCUCCACUACAAGAUGGACCUGCGUUGUAUUAGCUAGUAGGUGAGGUAACGGCUCACCUAGGCGACGAUACAUAGCCGACCUGAGAGGGUGAUCGGCCACACUGGGACUGAGACACGGCCCAGACUCCUACGGGAGGCAGCAGUAGGGAAUCUUCGGCAAUGGGGGCAACCCUGACCGAGCAACGCCGCGUGAGUGAAGAAGGUUUUCGGAUCGUAAAGCUCUGUUGUAAGUCAAGAACGAGUGUGAGAGUGGAAAGUUCACACUGUGACGGUAGCUUACCAGAAAGGGACGGCUAACUACGUGCCAGCAGCCGCGGUAAUACGUAGGUCCCGAGCGUUGUCCGGAUUUAUUGGGCGUAAAGCGAGCGCAGGCGGUUUGAUAAGUCUGAAGUUAAAGGCUGUGGCUCAACCAUAGUUUGCUUUGGAAACUGUCAAACUUGAGUGCAGAAGGGGAGAGUGGAAUUCCAUGUGUAGCGGUGAAAUGCGUAGAUAUAUGGAGGAACACCGGUGGCGAAAGCGGCUCUCUGGUCUGUAACUGACGCUGAGGCUCGAAAGCGUGGGGAGCGAACAGGAUUAGAUACCCUGGUAGUCCACGCCGUAAACGAUGAGUGCUAGGUGUUGGAUCCUUUCCGGGAUUCAGUGCCGCAGCUAACGCAUUAAGCACUCCGCCUGGGGAGUACGGCCGCAAGGCUAAAACUCAAAGGAAUUGACGGGGGCCCGCACAAGCGGCGGAGCAUGCGGAUUAAUUCGAUGCAACGCGAAGAACCUUACCAAGGCUUGACAUACACCGGACCGCCCUAGAGAUAGGGUUUCCCUUCGGGGCUGGUGUACAGGUGGUGCAUGGUUGUCGUCAGCUCGUGUCGUGAGAUGUUGGGUUAAGUCCCGCAACGAGCGCAACCCUUGCCCUAUGUUGCCAGCACGUAAUGGUGGGGACUCAUGGGAGACUGCCGGGGUCAACUCGGAGGAAGGUGGGGAUGACGUCAAAUCAUCAUGCCCCUUAUGUCUUGGGCUUCACGCAUGCUACAAUGGCCGGUACAGUGGGUUGCGAUACUGUGAGGUGGAGCUAAUCCCUAAAAGCCGGUCUCAGUUCGGAUCGAAGUCUGCAACUCGACUUCGUGAAGUUGGAGUCGCUAGUAAUCGCAGAUCAGCAAUGCUGCGGUGAAUACGUUCCCGGGCCU